rnacentral:pre_miRNA from 13 species
GGAAACUGCCACGCUGGAUGUGCUCGUUAGUCAUAGUAGCCUAUCCUGAACGGCCUAUGACUAGAGACACAUUCAGCUUGGCUCCGAUAUCA